AUGGAUUGUGUAAAUAGACCAGACUGAAGGAUCCCAUCCUAAUCAUAUUGAUGAAAUACUUAUCUGAAAGCCAGAGUGCCCCCAGAAGAGACUCACCCAGGAAUACAAUUAAAUCUGAAUCUGGAAGAGGAAAUCCCAGCCAAGCCUCCCAGAUUGCUCUCCCUUCCAGGGGGCUGGAAACACAAGAAAGAGACCCAGCACCUGGGUGCCUUCAUCUAGGCUCUGUCCUGCCUGUCACAGCCAUAGCAAAGACAUCUCUACCGGUUUUGCUGUUCCUGAGGCGCUUGGGAACAAACUAGGAGCUCUGGGGGACAAGCCAAACCUCCUACAACUAUGAGGAAAGGAAAUGAGAAAGCUGACCUCUGCCAGCUUCAAAGGUGAGAGGCUGGCUCCUGUCUUUAACCAAGCAAGGAGGCAAUCAGCAAGGACUUGGGAAACACCUGCUAUGUACCAGGUACUCUGAUAGGGGCUGGGGGGGGGGGGGGACUGACACAAAUGAAAUAGUCCCUGUACACAAGGAACUUCUAUUCAUUCAACUCUCAUUUGGUCAGGGUUCCCUAUGGAAAAAGGGGUCCCAGAAAGAAGUCCAUAGGACUCCCCAAACGGCCUAUGAACAAUGCACUGCCCUUCCUGAGUAAAUGCUCAUUGGAUGUUUAAAUCCUAAAUUAUUUUGUCCUCAUUUUACUCUAGCAUUCUAUCGAAAUGCUGAUGAAAUAUCUGGAAUUUAUUUUGAAUUUUAAGUACUCACUAAUUUUUUGAAGGUAAAUCUAUGAACUGGCUGCCAUGUUAGUUGUCUUUGCUGAACUGCCUUCCCCAUCUCUUUAAAAAUUUUUUUGUUACAAAAGAUGGUUUGCUGGGUGGGCAGGAAAUCUUUGAAAAUGAAGAAGAUAUAAAAACAAAAUAUGUCAUUAACAACUCAUCUCAUUUUGGGGUCUGAGCUUGGUUAUUCUGCUUACACAGUACUCAUUUGUUGUUUUUGGAUGUCUUCACAUUUAAAAUGCAGUCAUUGUAUGUGUUCUUUUCCUGACUUAUGUUACUGUGCAUCUGUUCAUAUGUCUUCCCAUGCUUCUCUGAAUCCAUCAUUCUCAC
rnacentral:lncRNA from 1 species